rnacentral:hammerhead_ribozyme from 1 species
GCACUGCUGACGAGUCCAAAAAAGGGCGAAACAGCUGUCCAGUGC